GUCAUACCAAUACGCUGGUUGUGGUAGAUAUGCUGGAUAAUACUCCAUCUUGUUCACCUCCACCUUGGGAGCACUCUCCUUCUUCCCACCAUCACCACCGCCGUCUUUCUUCUCUCCGCCGCCGGCGGCUUCUUUUUCCUUCUUCUCGCCUGCACCGCCGUCUUUCUGCCCGCCGGCCGGAGCUGCGGCGGCGGGCUUGUCGUCCUUCUUAGCUCCUUCAUCUUUCUUGGGUAGUGCUCCGUCGUCUUUCUUCGGUGGAACCACCUCCACAUUUCUCUUGAGCUUACCCUUGAGAUAAGGAACCAGCUCGUUGACCUCCAUUAUUCC
rnacentral:lncRNA from 1 species